CCUACGGGUGGCAGCAGUGGGGAAUAUUGCACAAUGGGCGAAAGCCUGAUGCAGCAACGCCGCGUGAAGGAAGAAGGCCUUCGGGUCGUAAACUUCUGUCCUUGGGGAAGAAGAACUGACGGUACCCAAUGAGGAAGCCCCGGCUAACUACGUGCCAGCAGCGCCGGAAAUCCGUAGGGGGCAAGCGUUAUCCGGAAUUAUUGGGCGUAAAGAGUACGUAGGUGGCAAGCUAGGGGCAGGGUUAAAGGCGAGGGCUAAACCAUGGAUCGCCCUGCGAACUGGGAUGCUUGAGUGCAGGAGAGGAAAGCGGAAUUCCUAGUGUAGCGGUGAAAUGCGUAGAUAUUAGGAGGAACACCAGUGGCGAAGGCGGCUUUCUGGACUGUAACUGACGCUGAGGUACGAAAGCGUGGGGAGCAAACAGGAUUAGAUACCCUAGUAGUC
rnacentral:rRNA from 1 species